rnacentral:lncRNA from 1 species
CUUCAAGACUGUUUAAUAGAAUAUUCAAUAUGUUUCACUACAAUUAUCACUGUUUUUAAUGUUUACUUUAAUGUAUUAGAGAUAUAUGCUGUCUUUUUUGUUUUUUGUUUGUGUCUCUUUAACACUUGCAUGCUGCUCGUCUCUGCAGGGAGUAGACCAGUGUAGAAGAAAGUGAAAGUAGAGGGUUUCCUGUCAGAGCUGCUUAAACACCCCGACCACUGGAGCCUGCAGCUUUCACACCCUCCAACAUGAUCGAAGAAUCAAAAAUGGAUAAAAUCUAUCUGACCGUGUUUGGGCAGGCUUUAUAUUCCAACGUAAUCUUCGUAGACAAGCUCCGAGUUCACCUUAACUUUCGAGAGGUGACUUCGCUGGAGAGGAGUGACAUCGUCAUUGCUUUUGCCCCCAUCACAUCUCGAGCUGGAACCGACCUCGAAGCUGCUCUUAAGAGGAUCCCACAGUCUUCCAGGCCUGUUGUUCUAGUGGUGCUCCAUUACACAUUUGAUCUAAAUUUCGUGGCUCCAGAGAGCAGGUAUUUUGUUAACAGCAAUGUUAACAGGAGUGAUGUGUUCACUGUGGACUGCCUGUUUAAUGAAGAUCAAGGCCUGCUGGAAUGCCAACGCAAUAACGAGGCUGUGCAAGCGGUGACUGCUCAUCUGAUCUCUAAAGGAGUGCUGAGAAAGCUAGCAGACGUUUAUUAUCCGGCGGGGCCUGCAAACUUCCAGAUUUCUCCAGUGAACAAAGUCAUUUUGUCUGUCGGUUUUGAGGCGAUGUUAGGUGGAAUCAUUUGCAUGAUUAUUGGAUAUUGUGGUCCUAUUCCUGGGUUAUUUAUUGGGAUUUUAGGUGGGCUCUUCUCUGGGUACUUUCAUCACUUCCGUUCUAAACGUCCUAAACCGUCAGACAGACCCUCGGAGCCCUUGCUACAAGACAGAACCCACAAUCCUCAGAUGUAAUUGCUCAGCAGCAUCUAAAACGUAUAUAACACCUUUUAAUGAUUGUCAUAAACUUAUAAUAUGUAUAACUUAUAAUAGAAUAACUCACAUUUACUCAUUAGUGACUUUUAAAACAUGUUAGGUUUCACAAUGCCUUAUAAUAUGUUAAAGAACACUGCAUAUACUAUAAUAGGCAUUUUGAAACCUGUCUUUAUAUGUGAUGCAUAUUCAAAUUUAGCAAAGUGAAAGCAGCAUCUAAAGCAAAAGUGAAAGUGAAUGUAAGUGUAAAUGACUAAAUAUGCUGUAGUUCUAUAUAUAGCUUUUGCUUAUAUUUGCAUUCAUACAAUCAUCUGAUAUUAUCAAUUAUAUCAAUUUUGCUGAUGUAGAAAUACAGCUCUGGAAAAAAAAAUUAUUAUGAUUUUGCUAUUUAUUGACAUAAGUUUGGGUAAAAUAACUAUUGAUGUUUUAUUUUAUAAACUACGGACAACAUUCCCCCAAAUUCCAAAUAUAAAUAUUGUCAUUAACAGCAUUUAUUUGCAGAAAUGGCUGAAAUAACAAAAAAAAGCAGAGCUUUGUUCUGAUCAGUGUGUGACAAAUAAAUCUAAUAAAUACUUAAACUAUUAAACUCA